rnacentral:rRNA from 1 species
AAGUCGAGCGAUGAAGCCCCUUCGGGAGUGGAUUAGCGGCGGACGGGUGAGUAACACGUGGGUAACCUGCCUCAAAGAGGGGGAUAGCCUCCCGAAAGGGAGAUUAAUACCGCAUAACAAGUAACUUCCGCAUGGAAGUAACUUUAAAGGAGAAAUCCGCUUUGAGAUGGACCCGCGGCGCAUUAGCUAGUUGGUAGGGUAACGGCCUACCAAGGCAACGAUGCGUAGCCGACCUGAGAGGGUGAUCGGCCACAUUGGAACUGAGAGACGGUCCAGACUCCUACGGGAGGCAGCAGUGGGGAAUAUUGCACAAUGGGCGGAAGCCUGAUGCAGCAACGCCGCGUGAGUGAAGAAGGUUUUCGGAUUGUAAAGCUCUGUCUUUGGGGACGAUAAUGACGGUACCCAAGGAGGAAGCCACGGCUAACUACGUGCCAGCAGCCGCGGUAAUACGUAGGUGGCAAGCGUUGUCCGGAAUUACUGGGCGUAAAGAGUGCGUAGGCGGAUAUUUAAGUGAGAUGUGAAAUACCCGGGCUUAACCCGGGCACUGCAUUUCAAACUGGAUAUCUAGAGUGCAGGAGAGGAGAACGGAAUUCCUAGUGUAGCGGUGAAAUGCGUAGAUAUUAGGAAGAACACCAGUGGCGAAGGCGGUUCUCUGGACUGUAACUGACGCUGAGGCACGAAAGCGUGGGUAGCAAACAGGAUUAGAUACCCUGGUAGUCCACGCCGUAAACGAUGAGUACUAGG